GUCCUUCUCCUCAGGACCGAGCCGAGUGAAAUGACAACCAGCUGGAAAGACCUAGAGACACUUCCGGUUCGAAGAGGGAGGGGUGGGGUACGGAGGGCACUCCGCCCACCUGUCGAAGUACCAAUCAGCUGUUAGAAUUUAGGCGAGGCCACGCCCCCGGCUCAGGUCCCCUCCUAGGAAGGUCGAAAACUUAGCUCGAGAGACGCCUCUUCCGUCUGCGCCUCGCCCAGUGAGGCCUGGCGCCUGGAACCCGGUCCCCCACCCAGAGUGAGCGCAGCAGGUUGCCAUCUUUAGUGUGGGCAAGAGACUCCUUCGCCAUUUCUCUCCCCUCAGCACGCUUUGGAGGAUUGCAUAUAGGGAUGCACGGAAGAGAACGGAUCCCUCGAGCACUAAAGAAAGAGUCCAAAGGAGAUCCAAAGGGCGACCGGUGAAACCGCGGAUGAAGGGGAGGCCUGCCCACAGUAAAGAGUUGAGACCCUACCCAGAGACUGACGACGGGAAGCUGCCACACUCCAACUAUUUGAGCAGGUUUUCUGCUGCCGUCUGUCAUCCCUGCGAUGCAUUUUAAAAGAUAAAUUGCCGAAGAAACUUCUCGAUUUCGUGGAGAAGUAUUGAAGUGAGGAGUGUUAUGAACACUUUCCAGAGAGGUCUGCAUGAAAAAUGCUGCAUACACUUGGCCCGUUCCCUUUCGAAGCUGACACACUGCCAUGGAUACGUGCUUGUGGUUCAGUCAGCAGUCCGCACACGUGUAUCAGGUGAUGCCCCAAAGCCGUGCGCCAACAAGAUCCCGAGACUAUCCAGUGCAACAGGGGAGAGAUGACUGAAUUCCAAAUUGCAGUAAGCAUGACAAGCCCGUAAAUAAGGGUGCCGUGGGGACACGGGAGAGAGGCUGCCUUACUCAGCCUGGGCUCCAGGGAGGGCUUCCAAGAAGAGGGGAAAUUUGAGCACUGUCUGGAAAGCUGAGCUAGAGGUUGGCAGGUGUGGAAAGGAAUCGGGUGUCAGGUUGGAGCCCCUCGAGGGUGUGGCUGGUGAAGAGAAGAGCACCUAACCCACAUUCAUUGAUGACUGUGUACUCUGUAUUGAAGGGCCGUGC
rnacentral:lncRNA from 1 species